rnacentral:rRNA from 1 species
UCCAGACUCCUACGGGAGGCAGCAGUGGGGAAUCUUCCGCAAUGGGCGAAAGCCUGACGGAGCAACGCCGCGUGAUCGAAUGAAGGCCUUCGGGUUGUAAAGAUCUGUUGACAGGGACGAAUAAGCAAUGCGAAUAGUUUUGUGUAUGACGGUACCUGUUUAGAAAGCUCCGGCUAACUACGUGCCAGCAGCCGCGGUAAUACGUAGGGAGCAAGCGUUGUCCGGAAUUACUGGGCGUAAAGGGCGCGUAGGUGGGCGCUUAAGUCAGGUGUGAAAACUCCGGGCUCAACCUGGAGACUGCACUUGAAACUGGGUGUCUUGAGGGCAGGAGAGGAAAGUGGAAUUCCUAGUGUAGCAGUGAAAUGCGUAGAUAUUAGGAAGAACACCAGUGGCGAAGGCGGCUUUCUGGACUGAAACUGACGCUGAGGCACGAAAGCGUGGGGAGCGAACAGGAUUAGAUACCCUAGUAA